AUAAAGAGUUAUGUGAGAAUAGAUUAAUAUGUGAGAAUAAAUCACAACCGUUAGAUCAUGUAAAUCUAAGGGCUGCGAUUUUCCCAAGCUCUAAUAAAAAAAUCCCAUCAGUUUUCAUAAGUGAUCAUUCCUAGCGUGGAAAACAACAUCUAAAUGGGGAAAAUUGAAAACCCAUCUCUCUCUUCAUCAAUCGAUUUUUUGCUAGCAAAAAUCUGAACUUUUCUCUCUUCAUCGAUUGAUUCAUCCAUCAAUAGUUUGUUCAAUUCAUCAAAUUUUGCUGCUUAAUCGUUCAAUUCAUCAAAUUUGGGUGCUGCUCAAUCGUUCAAUUCAAUCAUUAUCAGGCAUUAAACAAGUCUUGAAUUGGGUCAUAACACUAACUAGAGUGGUCUACAAAACCUGAUGAUGGGGACUCUAGUCAGUUGAGAUCGGAAACCAUGAUUAAGAAAGAAAAUUUCUAAAUAUAUUGAGACAAGUGGCCUUGUGGAUCUUUGAAGCGGUAGGGAGGUUGGUCCGACUAAUGCAGCCUAAGGCAGAUGGCCUUAGUUGAUAGACUUGACAGGCGAUCCUUGUUCACUGGUAUUAUAAUUGCUAAGAGAAGCUUGAUUGGCUCAGUUGUGCAACUUAGAGAUCUAAAUGUAUUAAAUGAAUGGUUGUGAGAAGCUCACAAGGGUAAAUCUAAAGUGAUGCUAGGGACAAGCGUGUCUUGAUGGUUCUAACUCAUGCAACUAGAGUCACUUGUUCUUGUCGCACACGUAGACAUGUGAAAAUACACAUUUGCAACGUUGCAAACUUUCUUCACUACUAGAACUGACACUUGUUGUACAUAAGAUGUCCACGAAGGAUCACUGUUCAUUUAAGCAGCUAUUAGUAUGGAUAUAUUGUGUUGUGGUUAGUGUAGUGGUCUUUGUUAUUCCGCUAUUAAUAUAGAUUUGAGUUUAUAAAUGUUAAAAACUGAAAUUUUACUAUAUAAGCAAGAAAGAAUUUUCUAUUA